CGUGAGGGAUGAAGGCCUUCGGGUUGUAAACCUCUUUUAGCAGGGAAGAAGCGAAAGUGACGGUACCUGCAGAAAAAGCACCGGCUAACUACGUGCCAGCAGCCGCGGUAAUACGUAGGGUGCAAGCGUUGUCCGGAAUUAUUGGGCGUAAAGAGCUCGUAGGCGGUUUGUCACGUCUGCUGUGAAAUUCCGAGGCUCAACCUCGGACUUGCAGUGGGUACGGGCAGGCUAGAGUGCGGUAGGGGAGAUGGGAAUUCCUGGUGUAGCGGUGGAAUGCGCAGAUAUCAGGAGGAACACCAAUGGCGAAGGCACAUCUCUGGGCCGUAACUGACGCUGAGGAGCGAAAGCGUGGGGAGCGAACAGGAUUAGAUACCCUGGUAGUCCACGCCGUAAACGGUGGGUGCUAGCUGUGGGCCACAUUCCACGUGGUCCGUGACGAAGUUAACACAUUAAGCACCCCGCCUGGGGAGUACGGCCGCAAGGCUAAAACUCAAA
rnacentral:rRNA from 1 species